rnacentral:lncRNA from 1 species
UUUAUUAAAAUACACUGAUCAGGAUGAUGUCACUCCCAUUCAGAUUGAUUUUAUUGAUGUCCUUGCUUUCUUUAAAUUUAAUCCCUUCACACUCAGCUGUAGUGAGCAUAGAUCUAGGCACAGAUUGGAUGAAAGUAGCUGUUGGGAACCUAAAACCGGGGCAGUCCCCAUUUUCCAUUGCACUCAAUGAGAUGUCAAAGAGGAAGUCCCCAGGCUUAGUGGCAUUCCAUUCCGGUACCCGUCUUCUAGGUGAAGAAGCUGCUGGAAUCACUGCCCGUUACCCUGGCAAAGUCUAUUCCCAACUCCGUGACAUGAUUGGGAAACCUUACAAGCAUGUAAAGGCCUAUUUAGAUUCAAUGUACUUGCCAUUUGAUAUUGUGGAAGAUUCUAGAGGCUCUGUGGGUGUGAAAAUUGAUGAUGAUGUCACAGUGUAUUCAAUUGAGGAGUUGGUGGCCAUGAUUUUGAGUUAUGCAAUGCAUCUGGCAGAGUUUCAUUCGAAGGUGACAGUGAAGGAUGCGGUCAUCAGUGUGCCACCAUAUUUUGGGCAGGCAGAGAGGAGGGGGUUGAUUCAGGCUGCCCAGUUGGCUGGGAUUAAUGUGCUUUCCCUGAUUAAUGAGCAUGCAGGUGCAGCUUUACAGUAUGGGAUUGAUAAAGAUUUUCCUAAUGGGUCUAGAUAUGUUGUAUUCUAUGACAUGGGUGCAAGUAGCACUUAUGCUGCGCUUGUGUAUUACUCAGCUUAUAGUGGCAAGGAGUUUGGGAAGACUGUUUCCAUUAACCAAUUUCAGGUGCGUUUCCAUUUAGCAAUAUCUAUUGGCAUUUGGUGUAUUUUUAUCACAAGAACAUGCUUUACAUGGUCCAAUAGUGCACAUUUGUAUAUGUCAUGUAUCCUUUAUCUUUGGUUCCUAUAUAGAAACAGGAUUAUAUUAUAGCACAAGAGGAAGAAUGGGAAAAUGGGAGGGAAUGGAAGAAAAUCUACUAACAUAAUAUAGGGACAAAGUGGAAAUUUAACCCUAGAAGGUGUCUUUGCCUAAAAAUUAGAGAUAUGGUUUAUGACUGGCAAAAAACUUAAUUAUCUAAACAACAUUAAUACUUUUCUGGUUGCAAAUCUAUGACAUUAAUCUUAAUAAUGGAAAAGCACCAGUGAUCUUAUUAGAUUAAAAUUAUUCUUGCACAUUCUGAUAUGAUUGCUCUUGUUAGAUGUUGUUGGCUACUUUCUUUCAACUUUAUAUCAGUGCCUUUUUUUCCUAAUUUUCUUUUUAUAUGUAGUUUUCGGGUCUAACCUUCUCUCUCUCUCUCUCUCUCUCUCUCUAAUGGUAGACCUCUGCUAUAUCUAAUUUAGGUUUUUGAUUGAAACCUGAAAUAGGAUAAAAAAUUUUCACUUAUCUUGUACAUAGUUUAUUGUUCUCCUUGUUAUUGGGUUUUUCUUUCAGUCUGAUAGCAUUGUCGUUUGCUUAAUGCAUGUCCAGGUUAAGGAUGUUAGAUGGGACCCACAGCUUGGAGGCCAAGAUAUGGAAGCACGGCUGGUAGAGUUUUUUGCAGAUGAGUUUAAUAAACAAGUUGGAAAUGGGAUUGAUGUGAGAAACUCUCCUAAGGCAAUGGCUAAAUUGAAGAAACAGGUUAAACGCACUAAAGAAAUCUUGAGUGCAAAUACAAUCGCUCCAAUAUCAGUUGAAUCUUUAUAUGAUGAUCGAGACUUCAGGUAUGUUGAGUCUUAAGGACAUGUACUUUACCAUGCAUGCCAGGUUGAUUUUGUCAAGUUUAUGUUUACCAAGUGUUGCCACCUUUAUGGCCCUUUAGCCGCUGCCGGGGUGCUUACUUAUAAGUUUGUUCCCUUCAGUUUUUCUUCUGGCCUAUAAUUUGAAUUUUCUUCUUUAAAUUGGGUAUAUAAUUGUGCCUUACCACAACUAAGGCCUUCUGCAUUGGGUUUUAUAGUGAGAAGCUAAUGGCCUUGGAUAGAAUUUCUAGGGUGGAAACCAUUGCCCAAACCAAGUCAUUUUGAAGAACUUGGUGCUUCCACUAAAAAAGAUGGUAUAGUUUCAGUUGUAAGAUCUGAAAUAUGAUAAAGUGUGGCACUUCUGUAUUUUCAGGACCAUUAUAUUGGCUUUCAUGUCCACAGUAUAAUUAGCAUGCUGAGGAUUCUCAACAUCCAUGGUAAUGCCUUUUAAUUUGCUCUUGGUGAGAAGGAUUUCAAGCAGAAAAGAAUCUUACUCUUAUAACUCCUAAAUAUUAUAUUUGAAACGGCUAUUUCUGGUUAAGGAAGUAUCAUGCUUCAGUGAUUUCUUCAGUGUUAAUAGAAGAAACCUGACUUGUUUAACAAGAAGUUAUAGUUAUGAAGGGGCAUCCUUGAGUCCAAGGGUAUUAAGUUAAGCAGAACUAAAACUGGGUUUCAAUUUAGUAAUGGAAGGCUUGAUGGUAAAGAGGUCCCACAAAGCACAUGUUUUAGAUACAUUGGCUCUAUUAUAUAAAGGGUAAGAAUGGAUACUGGAAGUGAGGAGGAUUUCACCCAUAGGAUUAAAGCUGGAGUUGUAUAAGAUCACAAAAGACCAACUAUUUUGAAGCUGAAGUUUUUACUCAAUCAUGAUGUGAUCAGAUAAAGUGGUGGAAAAAUAAUCUGUAUAUAAGAUAAGCAUGAGAAAACAAAUGAAGGUGCUAAGAUGGAUAUGUGGAAAUAUAAGGAUGGACAAGAUAAAGAAUGGAUACAAUUUAUAAGCAGGUAGAAGUGGCACCCAAUGAGGAAGGGAAAAUACAUUGAUAUGCCUUGCACAUGUGCAUGUCAGACUAGCAAAAACACCAGAAGGAAAGCUUGAGGGCAUUAAAGUUAUUGCAGAUAAGAAAAGCAAGGGGAAGAGUGGGGAUGACACAGGGACUAAUAUAAACCAGAUGUUUCUGAAGAUGCAAUUUUGAAUUGGAACGAAUGGAGGAAAAUGGAACUAUAUAACUGACCUCAACUAGCUUGGGUUUAAAAGUUGGUUAAAUUGAUUUCCCUACACAAAUUCAUCUAAAGUUCUAAACAUAAACACAUAGCAUUGUUUUUUCGUACUGUCAAGAGGGUAGCAUUAGGUGCAUAACACUUGUUUUUUAGAUUUAUUGGAGUGUAGCCUGCAUCCAGCAAUACAAGAAAAGUGUUGAGUGUUUUUUAAUUCUGCAUAUUUUCUUUUAUCAUAGACGUGGAUAAUGGUAAGUUUCCUGGUUUUUCUCCUCUACAAACGAAUGGAAUUGGGUCACUUGCAUUUUCCUCCUUGUGAUCAUUAAAAAGAUACGGAAUUUGACAAGCAACAAGGUCAUUAGGAUGCAUGGUACCUAUGGUUAUCAGUUAUGCAUUUAAUUACUUCAUGCACCGUAACCUGAAGAUUUCUUUCUUAAUUGCAUUAUUGUACUCCUUCCCUUUCCUUUGUCUUUCACACCUAUAUAUAUAUAUAUAUAUAUAUAUAUAUAUAUAUAUAGUUGGAUUGUAUAAUGGGAUUUCAAAUAUCUGUUGUUGUCCAAGUAGCAGUUGCCCUAAGUAAAUAAGUUCAUGUGAAUAUAAAUGUUAAUCUCGAUGUAUUUGAUUGUUUGUUUACCAGAAGUACGGUAACACGUGAUAAAUUUGAAGAGCUGUGUGAAGAUUUAUGGGAUAGAUCUCUUACACCUCUCAAAGAAGUGCUCAAACAUACGGGGUUGAAGGUGGAUGAAAUAUAUGCAGUAGAGCUUAUAGGUGGUGCUAUCAGAGUGCCAAAGUUGCAGGUUGGUACUACUUUAUCAGUUCUGGACGUGUGCCAGAAAAAAACUGAUUAAACUUCACAUCAACAGUUAGCUCAAAUUUUUAUGAUUAAAAUUCAAGCAAUGUCACAAUAUUGCGCAUUCAUAUUGUGAAGAAAACAGAAUAACUGCCAUCUAUUUUGUCUUUUAUGGGCCAUAUUGGUACAUUUUGUUUCAUUUAGAUAAAAUUUCAGCCAGUAACAAAUCAUAGUUCUAUCAUUCCAUCAUUCUUGCCUUUGCUCUUGCUCUUUUGAUUUUUUUUUUUUUUUGAGGUUCUUGGAGAUUCAAUUUGUUGAAGUCAAAAUUAAUGUGUUAAGUUUUUGAAAGGAUCUCUAAAGGAAGAGACAAGUAAAUAAAAUACUGGGUACAUAAAGCUUGGAUGGCUGAAAUCAAAACAAUAGGAAGAGAAUAUAAGGGUCAUUUUUCUUAAGGACAUGAUUUCAUUGGUUUGAAAUAGCUUCCUUAUUUGUUUCUGUUUUUGCAGUUACCAUCCAUGUACUCAUUGCAUAAAUUAACAAAUAACCCUAUAUGUUGGAAUAUAUUCUAGACAUAUGACAUAUUGUUGCGAGUUAUAGAAUUGAUUUUUCAAAUAACUUGAGAUAAAUUCUGUGAGUAUCAUUUAUUUAGCAUCAGUAACAUAUGAUUGGUCUCAGUAAAUGCAAUACUACACCCUGGAAUUCCUCGAUAUCAUUUUAUAUUCUGUUCAAUAUAUCAAGAAAGGGGAUUGUUGAAAAUAUUGUUAUUGACACCAUCUUGUCUAAUAUAAUAUGGAAGGCAAUUUUUUUCCCGGAUUUUUCUUGGGGUAAUGUAGAUAACAAUUAUACAGUUGAACUCUGUCAUUGUUUCCUAGAAUAGGUUUCUGGAGCAUGUUCACAUUUGCAGGUCUAUUUUUAUCCUUUUCCCAUUCUGCCUUUGUGUGAUGAAUAUUUUCUAAAACUAGAUCAAGAAAAUUUAGUAUCAUGCAUUAAUUGCAAAAACAUGCCUUUAAGAUUGCUUCUUUCAAAUCAAUAUCAUCUUAGAUAAUUGUGGGCAUAACAUUUAUGCUUUUUAAUUGUUGAUAUAAAGAUGCAUGGUAAUAUUGCAUGCACUAUACAUAAUUGGAAUGAAUCCUGUUCAACUGCCUGAUUUGCAGAUAGCUCGGCGUGCAUGUUGUAAUUACCAAUUCAAAACAUGAUCCUGCAAAAAUUAUAUGAACCGUGUUAAUGGUUUUCAUCAGUUCAUGGAGCGAGCAUGUAACUUUCUGAUUUUCCUAAUGACAGGCUAAGCUCCAGGAAUUUCUUGGAAAAAAUGAACUGGACAAACAUCUGGAUGCCGAUGAGGCUAUAGUUCUAGGCUCAGCACUGCAUGCUGCAAAUCUAAGUGAUGGGAUCAAAUUGAAUCGUAAGCUGGGAAUGGUUGAUGGUUCUUCUUAUGGAUUUGUAAUUGAGUUAGAUGGACCUAAUCUUCUGAAAGACGAGAGCACUAGGCAGUUGCUUGUGCCAAGGAUGAAAAAGCUUCCCAGUAAGGUAAAUGGCAUUGUAAUAUUUUUAUUGUGUUUGAAAGAAAUGAUGUGACUAUAAUUCAUGUGCUUGAGGUCAAAAUGUUCGUAAUGGGGAAAAGAAAACUAUUUAAUAUUUUCAACAUUAUCAACUUUGUUUUCUAUAUUUUCAGAUUGCAUGAUUUUGAUAAUUGCAGAUGUUCAGAUCCAUUAUCCAUGACAAAGAUUUUGAUGUCUCGCUUGCUUACGAGACUGAAGAUCUUUUACCUCCUGGUACUGUCUCUGCCAUAUUUGCACAGUAUGCUGUUUCUGGUCUGAUAGAUGCAAGUGAGAAGUAAGGAUAAUGAUCCUCUAAAUCACGUAGAUGCUUACCGUGCUUUUAAUUAUUCCAAGCAAAAACUUGUGAUAUAAUUUUCUCAUCUUUAUUCCUUAUAUUGUCUAGAUAUUCAUCUCGAAAUCUGUCCUCUCCCAUCAAGGCUAAUCUGCACUUCUCUCUCAGUCGAAGUGGAAUUCUUUCUCUGGAUCGAGCAGAUGCUAUUAUUGAAAUAUCAGAAUGGGUGGAAGUCCCUAAAAAGAAUCUGACUGUAGAUAAUACAACUGCUACCUCUCCUAACAUAUCAGUUGAAACUGGGGCCAAAAACGUUUCAGAGGAAACCAGUGAAAACUUGCAAUCUGAGGGUGGCAUCAACAAUGCAACCAACUCUAAUGUUGAAGAGCCAAGUGUCAUUGAGCCGGGUACAGAAAAGAAGCUGAAAAAGAAGACAUUUAGGGUUGCACUGAAGGUGCAAAUAUGCUAAUGACGUCAAGACUUUCUGUACCGUUCCUGAUAUAAAUUUUCGUGACUCGUUUAUUGCUUUCUAUAUUUUUUUUUUCCUAUUUUGUAGGUUGUGGAGAAGACAUUGGGACCUGGAAUGCCUCUUUCAGGAGAAUCUCUUGCUGAGUCCAUAACUAAAUUAGAAGUAUUGGACAAAAAGGAUGCUGAGCGAAGGAGGACUUCUGAAUUGAAAAAUAACUUGGAAGGAUACAUAUAUUCUACUAAAGAAAAGGUGUGAAUACUUGAGUCACUGCUGCAUCUCAACUAUUGAAAAAAUCAAACUAUUUAUGCACCUGGUGUUAAUAUUGUUUUGAUUUUCUUGAAUUUACUUGAUGUUUGUUCCAUUAUUUGUCUAUGAAGAUUUUAGUCUCUGUAUUAUACACUGCCAAUCUUAUGUGUGAUGUACCUUAAAAUAGGCCUUGUGUAUUAAUCUCAAAAUACUAAAACAAAGUAAGUUUUUGUUUGACUUGAUUUUUUUCAAUAUUGUUUAGUAUUGUUAACUAGCUUUAUAUUCCCUUUAGUUUUGUUUUUUGAUUGAUUUUUAUUUUGGCUAGUUCAGCUUGAAACAUCUGAGGAGUUUGAGAAAAUAUGUUCUGAUGAAGAACGCAAAUCUUUCAUUGAAAAGCUUGAUGAGGUUAGCCUUUCCUUCUUUCUUCCUUCUCUCCUCUUUUCCUUAUUCUUAACUUUGUUCUACUUGUCAUUUUUUCUAGUGGUUUCUGUAUGUUAUACAUGGUGGUUGUUAGUAUGAAUAAUAUAAUUUUUUUUAAAUGAUAUUAGACUCUAGCAUCAGUAACAAAAAUAAAAAAUGAGCAAACAUGUCAUUAUACAACACUGAGGACUGGGAAUCCUCUUUUAUAACUCAGUAGACACUACAAAAUAUAUAUAUAUAUAACAAGCUAACUGAGUAAUGUACUAUUAUAUUAUCUAAAAUUUCAAUUGGUAUACUAAACAAAAGUGCAUUGGGUAAGUUCCUAAUUUUUAAUUUUGUUGAGUGGCUCUGGCAAUUCUAGCUAAGCACACUUCAACUUUUAUCUUCUCCAUGGACUCCCAUGAACAUUGAUGUUUUAUUAGUAAUUAUUUGUUGAUAUUUAAUUUGGAACACAAAAUCUAGUAGAACAAGUUUGGGUAAUACUUGCUUUUCAAUGCAAAUAUUUUUAAUCUAAAGAUGGUUCUUGCUUGAGAGUUUAUUUUACUUACUAGGCAUUCCAUUUAAUUGGGUAAGUUAUAGAUUUGGUCACCGAAGUUUGACCUAGAUUGUAAUGAGGCAUCUGAUGUUUAGUUUUUCUCAGUUUAAUAACUACACUUUAAAAUAGUGUUUCAACUAUGUAUUUUAGCAAAUUUAAUCUAUUUAAAUAUAGAAAUAUUCUGAAUAAUAUGUAAGCGUUGCUAGAACUUUCUAUUGCAGAAAAAAAAUAUUAUGUUGCUAGAGUUGUGGAAAGGUUUUUAUUUUAUUUAUUUAUUUAUUUUAUUUUAAAUUUCUUUCUCCCAUGUUGUGUGUUGUCCCCAAAUUCAAUUUCUUAACAAAAGUUAUAGAGCAAUAAUGAACUUUUCCAAAACUCUUACUUGCAGUCGCUUUUCACAGCGUCAAGUUUUACAAUACUGAUCCCUAACUGAAGAAAUCCUUAAAUUAUAAUCUAGACUAAAUAUUCAAACACAUUAAAUUUUAGUGACUUAGUAGGAAAACAAUUGAACUUUUAGUGACCUUAGUGCCACAAUUUUUUGUCAAACUUUAGUGGCCAAAUUUGUAAUUUAGCUCAGUAUCAUGUCUUAAGAGCAAUAUAAUAGAAUAUCAAAAGUAUUUGCAAUAUCUUAUUCAAUAGUAGUUUGAUUUUGAAAAUUUCCCUCUAAUCCUUAGUUAUACACAUAUGUUCGAUCCCAUAAAAAUUUUGUAGGUUUUGAUGGACAAAUUAGUAUAACUUUAAAGGAAUCAUUAGUUAAAAAUUAUAGAGAGUUCUUUUUAUUUCUUAAUUUCUGUGAUAACAACUAUAUAUCGAGUUAAAAUUAAUAAGGUUUUAAAUUUUUAAGUAUCUAUCUUGUCUGUAUCAAAUUGUACAUUUUCAUAUCCUUAAUUGCCCUUGAAAAUGUUCGUAAAUUAACCAAUAAAAAUAAAAUAUUCGUUUGCAAAAUAGAACACAAGGCUUCUAUUGGAAACCCAAAUUUUAUAACAUUGAGCUGAAAUUUACUUUGCCAAUUCCGAAUUCGGAAAGGACAACAUUUGAUAGAAUUCAAUUAUUUCAAUAUUAAAAAAGAAAUGGUUUUGAAAUAAAUAAAAAGAGGUCAUUUUAUAUUUGAUUUUGCAAUAAUUCAAUUUAAUUAGAAUGGUUUAAUGCUCAAAUUUUAUAUUUUAUUUCCUGGUCUUGUACAGCUGUUAGUUGUUUCUUAAACCAUCAUUAAAGAAGUAAAAGAAAUUGAAUUUUAUUGAUUUACAUCCAUUUGGAACAAUUCUUGCUAAGAAUUAAAUUUAAUUUGAUCAUUAGGAUUGAAUGGACUCAAAUUCUUUGACAUGGUUUUCCAAAACUGAGCCAAUAAAAAAGUGAAAAGUAAAUAAGAGAUGGAAGUUGAGUUUGAUGCUAACAAUGUAACUCGUACUCAUGGUAGAUUUAUCUCUGAUAAAUACUCUGACUCAAUUAUGAUAUAAGCGCUAAACUUACUUAAAAAUUAGUGCACUAAACUAGUAUAUAUAUAUAAACUUAAAAUUUUAAGGGCAUAUUUACUUAUACAAGACAAUUUUCUGUUUUCUAAGAAAACAGUACUCUUAGAAAAUGAAAACUAGAAAACAAAGAAUGGAAAACGCGUUUUCUUGGUAGCAAUAGAAAUAUCAUAUUUUAAUUCAAAAACUUCAAAAACAUUAUUCAUAAUUUUCAUAAUUAAAUACCUGAACCUAUGCAUAUAUAUAUAUAUAUAUAUAUAUUAAUUAUGUUAAUAUAACCAAUCUCAAAAAUUAACGUUUUUCAUUUUGAAUCCUUUUACUAAUUUUUCAUAUUAAAUGUAAAUAUCUGAACUGAAAGAAAAAUUUUUUAUUUUUUUAUUUUGAUCAGGAAAAAAGCACAAUAUUGUAACAUAGAUACUCUAUGUUUAAUUCAUAUUUUUGUCCUUUAGAAAGUCUUACCUUUUGUCUAUCUUUUCAUGUCAUCACAUUAUGGAUUAAAAAUUUUUAGCACUUGAAAACUCAAAAUGGUCUGUGUUGUAGCCAUUUGACUUGCAUUUGCAAAAUUAACAUCUUGGAUUUUUCAGGUACAAGAAUGGUUAUAUACUGAUGGUGAAGAUGCUACUGCCACUGAGUUUCAGGAUCGUCUCGAUUCAUUAAAAACUAUUGGUGACCCUAUAUUUUUCAGGUAUGAAUUAAUUUAAGUAAGGUCUAAACCUCCAGCGGAUGAGCACGUCUUCUUUAGCAGGUGUAUUAUCACAUUAUUAGCUUGUGUACUUAAAUUCAGUGUUCCAGCCAUGGUCUUGAAUAUUGGCUUUUCUUUAGUGUAUCCUGUAUCAUAAUGGGAUUUUAGCGCAGCAUUGCAUUAUUUCUGUUUCUCUAUAGGUGAUUGACCAAUUACUCCAAAGCAGUUGACAAAACAUGAAAAUUGUCUGUUUAUUUUAUAAAAUUUUAAUUUAUGUUAUUGUUUACUUGAUAUCUUGUAUUGUUUUAUUAAUUCUCUUUUCAAACUUUGAGUUCAUUGUUGAUUGGAGUGAAUGGUCUUAAAAUAUUUCACAGCAGCAGUGGCCGAUUCAUACUGAUUCAGUUUGAUUCUGGCCGAUUUGAUGACUCAAUUUUUGUUCUGUUACUGUUUCGAAUUCUGUAAUUUAAACCCCUGAUCCGAGCUGACAAAUAUUCUGGUGCAGGUAUAAAGAGCUUACUGCAAGGCCAGCAGCAGCUGAACUUGCUUUAAAGUAUCUUGGAGAGCUGCAACAGGUGAUGAAAGUUCAAAUGAUUUAAUUCAAACAAAUUAAUAGGUGUAUAGGGGAAAACCACACGCUUACAACAGUUCAAGUAACAUAUUGAUAUUAUGUUAUUGCUGGAUUGGUUUGAAGAAAAAUGUGAAAUCAGGAAUGAGCUUUGACAAAAUUAAACUACUGUUUUUUCACUAAAUGGAACAAGUAUAUCCAUGAGCAUUAAGAUCAAAAUUUAAAUGAUCAGCAUGAAGUAUAUAACAAAGGUAGCAUGUGCUUUUGAUAUGAUGCUUGAAUUGUUUUUCCACUGGACCUUUGCAUGUAUCAUGUGUUUUUGAUAUGAUGCUUGAAUUGUUUUUCCAUUGGACCCUUGCAUGUAUCAUGUGUUUGUUAAAGAAUCUCUGUUUUUGACUGAUAUCAUGUGUUUGCUGCUAGUGGUUCUUCCAUUUGGCAACUUUUCUGCAAUUUACUGUUGACUAUUUGCGGAUUGUCUUUGGUUAUAUAUAUGAGUUGCAGUAGCAGUUGCAGAUGUCAAUCAAUGCACCUUUACUACCUAUUCAGCCUUUUAUAGAUAGAAGUUUGCUUCAUUUUAUUACGACUGUUGUCUUCUCUACAUGGCAGUUGUUAGGUUUUAAAAGCAUGAUUGACCCUUUUUCUUUAUGUCACUGCAGAUUGUGCAGGGCUGGGAGAAAAACAAACCUUGGCUUCCAAAGGAUAAAAUAGAUGAGGUGCUUUUCACAUAUUGACCAACUCUGCCUCUUUAUGAUUUUUCUUUGAACUGUCAAUGAUUGAAUAAUGUCAUAUGAUUUACAUUUAAAAUUUUGAAUAUUUGCUUUUGUAGGUUCUAAGUGAUGCUGAGAAGCUAAAGAGUUGGCUGGAUGAGAAGGAGGCUGAACAGAAGAAGUAAGAUGUUUCCACUUCCCUUCAAUUUUUGUUUUUGUUAUUGGCUGUGGUUGCCACUCUGCUGCAAAUAUGGUUUGUAUUUUUUAGUAUAAUUUCCUAAGUUUCUUCAAGUAUUUGGCCAUUUAUAUUAACUUAUCUAUAUAAUCAUAGAUUGAUAUAUGUAUAUACGUAUUUACAAGUUAUAGUUCAAGUGUUAGGAAGCACAUUGUGUAUGUGAAGUGUUUAUUUGCAUAUUCAGCAAGUAUAACCUAGUGCUUUGCAUUGUAGACUACAGAAAGUUCAACAUGACUUAAUAUAAAAGAUCAAAGGCUCUUAGGCUGUCUAGAUUAUUUAUUAUCUAGCAUAUUGUAGUGCUUUUCAACUAUAAUUGUGAUAUCAUAGUGAUGUGCUAACAAACCCUAAUCUUAAUUUAGUUUGUAAGGAGACUACAAGUUAUUGAAGGUAAAUAUGACUAAAGAAGUCCGUUUAUUGACAAGAAUACCUAGCCAAGUGGUUUGAUUGAACGUAUGAGGUCUGCUCUUAUUCUGCUGUCAUAAUAUCUGAAGAUAAACCUAGUAAAAUCAGAUCCUAGCAGUUGAAAUAGAGCAUAAACUAAUCGAAUAACUGAAUUUUGAAGCUGCAUAGUUGCAGCAUGAACAGCAACACGUUAAAAGUAAAAACAUAUACUGUUAUUUUUAAUGCUUGCGCCAUCAUUUUCUCUGGGGUAGAGAAAACUUGACUCUGGCAAGAAGACCUGAAUAUAUUGGUUGUAUGGUUGGAUCAAAAGGACUUUCAAGGAUUAGUUAAAAAGAAGUCUAUCCAUGAUGAAUUUUAAGACAUGACUAUAGAGAGCUUGUGCAUAUAUAAAUGGAUUAGUUAAAUCCAGGUGUUGAUUGUUAUUUAACGUUUUCUUUCUUCCCUACCUCUUCUUCUUAACAGGAUUUCAGCAUUCAGCAAACCAGCAUUUACAUCUGAAGAAGUAUACGAAAAGUUAUUUAAUCUUCAAAAUAAGGUAUUAAAUUACUUCUGCAUUUCUUGAAAAUAGGAUUUUUCUGUUAUGCUAUGCUUGGAAAGCCGUAAUGGAAUGUAAAGUUAUAUUAAUCAAUUGCAUUUUGUUUACACUAGAAACAUAUUUGAUUAUAUUAAUAUUUACAUUCUAUUAUGACUUACCAAAUAUAUCCUCAGUUUUUCAUUGACAAGACAGUUUUGAAUGUUUUUUGGUGUUUUAAUUUUUAAGGUUGCUACUGCUAACAAAAUUCCGAAGCCAAAACCUAAAGCUGAGAAGCAUAAGAAAAAUGAAUCUGAGGAAAGCAGUGAGAAAUCGAGCAGUUCUAAUUCUACUUCUAAGAAGAAUGCUGAAACUGAAAAAUCAACAGUAGAUUCAAGCAGCUCGGGCGAAGAAUUCAAGGAAGAAAAUGAGGUUCAUGAUGAGUUGUGAUUAUAAACGAAUGGACAUGCCAAUAGGACCGGGGAGAUGCAGUGCUGCAAAAUUUUAACUGCAGAGAAUGGCAUAUAGUGUUUUUUUUUUUUUUUUUUUUUCCCCAAAAAAAACUUAAUUUUGGGAGUUUUGAUAUUCUGUAUUCCAAAUAUUAUCCAAUAGCUAAUUUCAUUUCAGUUAAUAUAUCAAUUAUGCAUGAAACAUUCAGCUAUGUUUGUCAUAUGUUUUUAAAUAGUUCUGGUACUUAAAAUUCAACAUGCAUUUUUUUUUUUUUUUAAAUUUUUCUUUGGCCUUAUCUAAAAUAAAGGAGAAUACCAUGUUGGAAUAUCUUUUGCAGAGCACAAGUGGAAGAACUAUAAUUUGAAUACUGUUUUUAUCAAAAGCAGUAAUUUUUUAUGAUAAUUAAACAGGAAUUUUUGUUUCAUUCUUAAUUACUAAUUCAUAUUAAAAUAACUUGACUUGACUAAUUAAAAAAAUAUUCAUAAUGUUUAGAUAAAGAUAUAAUUGUUUAAUUGUUGAAAUGAAAAUAAUUUUGCUUGAUUAUUAUGUAACAUUUAUUCCAUAAAUUUCCAUAAUUUUCACUAACAAAAAUUUUACCAAAACAAAAAUUAAUUUCUUCUAAAGAAAUCAACCCAUGUCAUAUGCUGUUAUUUUUGUUUAAUUAGGUUUUUACUACUUUAUUUCUCUUUUCUUGUUUUCAUUACUUCUAUAGUUUCAGACUAAUACACUGCCGAAUGAAUUAAAAUUGGUAACUAACUAUCCAAAGAAAAUGAUAAUAAAAUUCCCCAUCAUGCAGCUACUAUACAAUCGAUCAUGCAGCUACUAUACAAUCGUUCCCUCCGUGAGAUUGAGGAGAGGAUCUUCAUAAAUGAAGUAAAUACUCAAUGUGAACAUUAUAUUUUUAUUUUAAACUUUUCAAAAAGUGCUCUUUCUAAUUUAGCUUUUCAAGUAGUUCCUAUUUAAGUGAUGCGUGUUUAAGUGAUGCGUAUUUGUUGACUUUAGGUGAAGAUUAGCGCAUGAAGAGAUUGUCAAUGAUGAUGAUGAAGCAGUAAUGAUCCAGAGAAAUGGAAGGAUCUGGUUCCUGAGCUUCCUGCUCCACCAGAAAUCAAAUCAAGCAGGUGUGUAUUUCUUCUAUAAAUUUUAAGUACUGAUUAUUACUAUUAGUGGCAGGUGAUAUGUCAUUUUUGUAUUACUUUAUCAGUAUAUAUAGUUUCUUAAUAGAUUCAAUAAUUAAUCUAUUACAUUUAUUAUGAACAUAAUGGACAAUUUGACUUAUUGUUAGUCUUUAGUUAACUAUUUUGAUGACAAUUGAGAUAUUAAAUGAAGGUAAAAGCAAGCAGUUUAGAAAAACAUCUUUGUGGUCAAUUGGUAGUAAACCUAAAUUUUGUUGUUGCAAUUGCUUGCGUUCUACAUAAGUUUGAUGUCUGUUUUAUGUUUCUAGAUAUAUUAUGCUUGGCUUUGCUGGUUUUGUCCCCUCCUAUCAUCUGGUUUAUGAAGUAUAAAGGCAUAGAUUGAGUUUCUUAUGAUCUAUGCUUAUAAUGUCCAGAUGGAUGAUGAGAUUCAUGCGCUGGCUCUGAAGUAGAAAGAUGCAUCUAAGGAAGAACCUGCUGACUGUAAUCAUACAAAAUCAAUGCCUUCUGGUUAUGCUAAGAGAAACCAAUCUGCUUCCAAGUCAGCAAAUGGGGAAAAAAAUUCUAAUGGUGUGCCUCAAAAAAAAUUUCAAAUUUGAAUACACCAUUGUCUUUCUUUUUCAUCUCGCGCUAACACUGGCUCUUUAUUUUAUUUUAUUUUUUUGUUUUUUAUAUUUUUAUGCGCAAUCAAUUUUUCUUCUUCUUUUUGCAAAUUUCAUGUACUACAUGUUUGGAUUUCAUAUUUUGUAAUUUUGUAGAUCUUUAUUCUUUAGCUACUACGUAACAACUAUUAUGGUAGGACUAAAUUCUUGAUUUGUACAGUUUUUGUUUGUUUAUGAAUUAGAUAUUAAAUUAUAUUUUAUUUGUAUUUAACUUUCAUGCUAUGAUCUUCAUUUUUCUGUCAUCUCCUAAUAAAUUUAUUUGUGGGCUUUAAGGAAAGGAUAUUAAAAAAGAUAAUUAUAUGUAAAGUGAUUAUAAUUUAUAUAUUAUAAGGUACAAACUACAAAAUAUAAUCUAUAAUAACUAAACAAUGUACAGGCUAUUACCUAGUUAUAUUAUAUAUAUACACUAAAAUGAAAUCCAAAAUCACUAUUCAUAGAAUAGUGUUGUACCAAUUUAACCAACUCUUUUUUAUACUAUUCCUAUUUCACCCCUUUUCUUUGUAUCGUUCAUUCACGCUACUUCACAUUCUCCAAAUUCCACCGAUGCUCUCUUCCUUUUUACUUGCCACCUUCACUUUUUCUUCUUUUCUAUUCUAUGUACUGCUUCUAGAAUAUAACUACUCUUUCAGAUAAUUUUCCUUUUUAUUUGCAUUUAAUUCUUUUAUUAAUUUGUAUUGUUUUCUUUUUUUUCUUAUGUAAGAAACUUAAGAAUUGAAAUUGGAACGAGUGAAAUCAAAAUUUUUUUCUUUUGUUUUGCAUGAAACCAAUCUCUAAAUUUCUUGCUAGAUUUUAUAUUUGAAAUUACUGCAUGUCCUCAAUAUAUUCAUAUUUAUUGAUUCCGAGUUACGAUUCGAGUUAAUUACAUUCUUUGAAUACUUAUAUUUAAUUUUUCUUUGCUGAAUGUCGAUUGCAUUCGAUGGACUAAAAAUUGGAGAAUUUUGAUCUUGAACUCACAUUAAUGGAGCUUAGACCUAAAUUCUGGUAAUCAGGAUUUUAAUUUAUCCAAAUUAUUUGUUAUGGGUUUGAAAUUAUGAGUGUAUUUUUAUUUUAUGGAUUUCUGUUUGAGGAUUUGAUAUUUAUAGUGAAAGUCUGUUUUGUUUGGCUGUUGAAGAUUUUUUCCUUGAGGUUUUUAUGAUUGGAGAUAAUUAGAUCUGUUAUUUCUUCUAAUUGGAUGGUUUGGAAACAGGGUAUUCAAAUUCUACACAAAGCGUCCUUAGAGAUUUUAAUUACUAAGCUCAGUGGUCUCAUUCUUUCGUGGAAUCAUGUAUAACACAAAUAAUUACUUACUUGGGAUGGAUUCCUGCCAUUAUACAUAAAAUAAGAAAAAGAAAUAAAAAGUUAUUCAAAUUUUAUAAUUAAACAAAAAAUAAAAAAACUGAACAUGAUACUUGAACUGCAGAAAUUAGGAGGAGAAGCAGUUUCGUGCCUCUCCAAAAACAAAACAAUAAGUGCUGCUGUAGGAAACAAAAUUAAGAAAAAUGAAAUGUUAAUGCUUUAAAUAAUGAAACAUCAGGUCCUUGACAAUGUGGGUUCCUGCAGCUUUUGCUUUUUCUUUUAUUUUACUUUAGUAUAUACUAUUUUUGAUAACUCUAGAGCUGGCAGUGUUUAUGCCAUUCAUGUUGUUACUGCUGUUAAGAUGUUUAAGAAGCAUAGUACAUUCUUUAUUUCUUUGAUUGUUAUUAUCACAACCUAGAUGUUCCUUUAAGAGCAAGCUUGCUGUUAAGAGCAAUGAGGUAUGCUCUUUCUUUCUCUAAAAGCGUGUUUGGUUUCUGAGAAACUCGGAGAAAAGUAAAACUAAGUUAAUUUUGACAUUGGAGUUCUUUGUCUUUUAGUUGGAUUUUGGUUGCCAAAAGGUUUUAAGUGUAACAUUCUAGAUGCAAUGAAAAUAUCGUAUCCAAGUCUUAUGUAAAUUGAGUAAAUAAGUAAUAAAGAUAUAUCUUAUAAAAUCCGUGACCUAUUUAAAAGACUAUUGAAAUGCAAUGAAGUGAAAUUUAUAAGGUAUUAGAGUGAUGUAUAUGGAAUAUCCUUAACACUUAAGGUACGAUAAUACAAAUGCACAAAAAUCGCUUAAGAAAAAUCUAAUUUAAAUGCACCAUAAUUCUAUAAAAAUAUAUGUAUAAAGAAACUAAAUAUCUUAAUCUAAUAAAAUGAACAAAAAGUUGAGAAAAUACAUGUGAAUAACAUGCUAAAGAAAAAUUUUAAGUAAUAAGAGUGUGAAAUGACCAAGUUAGCCACCUAGACUAUUAAUAAUCUAAAGUGACUAAAUGGGAUAAAAGGGACAUUUUACCUAUACAAGUGGCAGCCUAAUCUUUCAUUCCAAAUACAAAAAGUUGGAUGGCUUAGUUUUAUGGAAUUCAUUUGGAAAUUUCAAUUAUUUUUAUGGAAUUUGGUGUAGUUAUGUCCAAUUCCAUAGAAUUGAAAUCUACAUUUUUUUUUCAUUCCAAAUACAAAAAUAUGGAUUUCUAGAUAAUUCCACAAAAUUUUAUAGAAUUCAUUUAUUCCAAAUAAAGGCAAAGUGUGUGAAAGAUUGUAUUUAUGAUCCCAGUAAUUAAAUGGAAGUAAAUGAGUUGACUAUAGUCCACCUAAGUAAUUAAUCGAGAUAAGUAAUGUGCAAUUGAAUUAGUUUAGUUAUGGCUUUUACGAGGUGCCCGUGGCCUUAAGCCCACCUGGACCCUAGGACCAUCGCACCAUCAAUUUUGGGGUGUGACCUUAAGCCUGACAAUGAUUCCACUGGGAGUGUUUAUAUAUUAGAUUUAUUUUGGGUUUUUGAAAUUAUAGUUUAGAUCAUAAAUAUUUUAAUUAGAAUUUCAUAUUCUUUUGAUUUCCUGCAUUUCCCCAUCAAUCAAAUGGGUCAUGAAUGCAAAUGGGUAUUUCUUCAACUUUUUUGUUCUAUAAUGUCCAUCAAUUUUUUUUUAAUCUUUAGCUAAAAAUUUAGAUUUCUAAAGAAUCAAUGAUUUUCUGAUUAUUACCUCUCUCUUUCUCUCUCUCUCUCUCUCUCUCCAAUUAUUUCUUUUUGGGUAGUUAUUGAAGAGAUAAAGAAGACAAUUGAAAUAUGUAUUCUUAGGCUAAGUUUGGUAUGGUAUAAUCAGCUCUCUUUCUCUCUGCAAUUAUUUCUUUUUGGGCAAUAAUUGAAGAGAUAAAAAAGACAACUGAGAUAUGUAUUUUUAGGCCAUGUUUUGUAUGGUGUAAUCAAUCAUGUAAUGUAAUUCUCAUUCCAUUACAUGAUUGAUUACAUUGUUUGGUUCGACAUUUUUUUUUACACUGUAAUGUAAUUGAGAUUACAUAUGUAAUCUUUAUUACUUAAAUUGAUGUAAUGAAUAUUAAAUUAAAAAAUAUAUGUAUUGUUCAUUACAUCAAGCACAUAUAGUACCAAUUACAUCAAGAGUCUGUUCAACAAAUUUAGUUGUUCUAGUAGCUGUUAGCUAUUUUAAUAGCUAUUAACUGUUUUACUAAUGGUUAGCUGCUAAAUAUUAGCUGUUAGUGGUUGACGAUUCUAUAGCAGUUUAGAAUAAAAGUGUUCGAUACAAAUAACUGUUUGAUUAGCUGUUUAAUAUAAAAUAACAAAAAAAAAAAAAAGGGUAUGAAAGCAAAGAAUAAGGUAAAGACAAGUGAUGGAUAUAAGUGUUAUAAAGAAAUUAUAAAACGUUAAAUGUUAAUGAAAAUAACGUUUCAUAAAACACUGUCUUAAACUCUAAACGCUAGGGUAUAUAUUAUAUUACUGAACGCUAUAAUUAAUUAAAAUAGUAUUUCAACCUUAUCAAAACACUAAACAAUACUACAAAUGCUGCUGCCGAACAUAGUCCAAGUCAACCCAAUUAAAACUCUACCAUUACCACAAUGGCUCGACCAUCACUACCACCAUCGCUCAACCACCUCAACCACCACACUACCAUAAUCAUUCUAUUACCACCACCAUUCCUCCACAACUACCACUACUACUACUCCACCACUAACACCACCACCGUCACCAUUACCACUGCUCUAUCACCACCACCUCAACCACCACCACCACCACUAAAUUAAUUUCAUAUAUCCAAAGUUUUUUCUUACAAAAAAAAAAAAAAGCUUUUGGUAUUUUAACUCUAAAAAGAUAAUUUAGACUAUUUAUCACAAUUUGUUUCUAUUUUAGGUUUAUCAAUUAUCAUUGAAGAAAUACAUAGAAUGGAUAGAAAUUCAAAGAAGUCAGUCCUAAGCAAGGAUGAUCAAAAGUUGGUAUAGUGUAAUUCUAUACAAUGUUUGGUAUGGUGCAAUUAUUAAUUUCAUUAAUUUUAUACCAUGUUUAGUAUGGUGUAAUCAACCAUGUAAUGGAAUGAGAAUUACAUUACAUGAUUGAUUACAUUAUUUGGUUAGACCCUUUUUUUAACAUUGUAAUGUAAUUGAGAUUAAAUAUGCAAUCUUCAUUACUUAAACUGAUGUAAUAUUCAUUACAUCAAAGAACACAUGUAUUGUCUAUUACAUCAAGCACAUAUAAUACCAAUACAAUCAAGUCACCCCAAUUAAAACUCUACCACUAACACCACCGCUCGAUCAUCAUUCAACCAUCCCCACUACCACCUCAACCAUCACCACCGCCGCCGCCAUCAUUCCUCCACAACUACCGCCACCACCAAUACCACCACUCCACCACCAUAACCACCCCCACCACCACCACUACCACUGCCCCACUCCACCACUCUACCGCACCACCACCACUGCUCUAUCGUUACUACCUCAACCACCACUACCACCACCACCACCACCGCUUCACCACUCUACCACUAUCGCCACCAUUGCUUCACCAUCAUCACCACCAUUGUUCUAUCACUAUCACCUCAACCACCACCACCACCACCACCAUUGCUCCACCACUAGCACCGUCACCACCGCUCCACCACAACUAUUUUGUCUCCACCACCUCAAUCACUCUACCACAACCACCACAACCACCAUAUAAUGAAAAUUAUAUUUUAGUAUUUAAUAUGCAACAAUCAAUAAAAAUUAUAUUUUAUUCUUUUAUUUUAUUAUAGGUGUAACGUCCCAAAAUUUUCAAAUCUUAAAAUAAUAUUAUUUUAUCGGGUCAUGAAUGGUGCUACAGAGAGCGGGGAUAAUAUUUUAUUUAGAUCCGAGAAAGAUAUUGAGUAUAAUUAACUAUGAACGGAUAGUGAUUUACCGGUCUGUGAAUAGUACGAUCGGUCUAUGAAUAGUACUACCGGUCCGGGAGUCGGUAUUAUUUUGGUCCGAAAAAAUUACUAUCUAUGUGUCAUUUUUAUUUAAUAUUUUUGGAGUAUGCAUACAUGAAUUUUUAUGGGUAGAAAAUAAGUAAUGAAUAUUUUUGGAGAAUUUAGAUAAUUAGUGAAUAGUGAAUUAUGGUGUUAUAUUAAGUAAGGAAAUUUGAAGAAUUAUUUUUAAGGAUUAAAUUUGAGAAUUUUAUGGAGAUAAAUAAUAUUUUGAAGGAAUUUAAUUGGAGAAUAUUUGUAGCCAUUAGAUGAGAUUUCUUUUGACUUAAUCUAUGCCAUCCAAUUGUGGGAAAAGACUAAACUACCCUUUAGUUGCUUUAUAAGUCAACUUCUCAAUUAUUGAGCAACACUUUUUCUUUUCUUCUUCUUCUCCUACUCCAUUUCCAACGCCAACUUUCUCUCUUCUUCUCUUCUUUGUUUUUUCUUCACUUCUACUCACUAAAUCCACCAAAUUUACACCAUUAAACUUGAUUUAAGUAAGUAAUCCUAGAGAAUUAAGGUUGAGAAGUGGUUUUUGGUGACUAAUUUCAAGAAAUUUGGAGAUUCUCUACUUGAGCCAAAGGUUGGAGAAACCUCUACCAUGGAGUAAAGGCAAAGUGAGAGCUUAGAAAGUUUUNNNNNNNNNNNNNNNNNNNNNNNNNNNNNNNNNNNNNNNNNNNNNNNNNNNNNNNNNNNNNNNNNNNNNNNNNNNNNNNNNNNNNNNNNNNNNNNNNNNNNNNNNNNNNNNNNNNNNNNNNNNNNNNNNNNNNNNNNNNNNNNNNNNNNNNNNNNNNNNNNNNNNNNNNNNNNNNNNNNNNNNNNNNNNNNNNNNNNNNNNNNNNNNNNNNNNNNNNNNNNNNNNNNNNNNNNNNNNNNNNNNNNNNNNNNNNNNNNNNNNNNNNNNNNNNNNNNNNNNNNNNNNNNNNNNNNNNNNNNNNNNNNNNNNNNNNNNNNNNNNNNNNNNUCAUAAAAGUUGUAGGUCUACUUCUUAGCUUUCCAACCCAUCCCUUUGUGUCCAGUUUGGAGAGAUAUAGCUCAACUUAUGAUUGAAACACCCAAACUGACUCUGUUAUGUCGGGCCAUAUGCAUCACUGAAUUGAGUGCCCAUUUUGACCACUAUAAUAAUAAGAUUAGGUUCUGAGUUCUUCAUGAAAGUUGUUGCCCUGUGUCUUGAGAAGCGUUGUUGUGUUAUGAUGAUUAUUUGGAGAUGUUGGAAGUUUGGAGUUUAAUUGGGAGUGUUUUAUAUUCAUAUGUUUCGCGAGCUCAGUUUUUAAAGGGAAAUUCUUACAGUAUUUCUGUAGGAUUUUUCCCAAUUUAUUUUUUCAAAAAAAAAAACAUAUUACUCGCUAAACUUGUGAAUACUCAAUUACAUUUAAUUCAUAAUCUGAUUUUAUGAUUUGUAUGUUAAGUUAAGAUGGUGUCUCCGGCACUGAAUGUGGCAUCCGUCGUCGGGUCUCACGGGACCGGGCGGCGGGUGUUACAAUAGGAAUGGAAAGAAUAGAAUAAAAAACACCAAAAAUAUCAAAAUGCCUAUAAUUUUUAUAUUGUAAUUUAUUCAGCGAAAAUAAAUGAAAAAAAAAUUUCUAAUGACUUUAACUUUUAUUUUGUUAUAUUAUAUUUUUUUCGGGUUACCUUCUUUUAAUUUUUGGUUCAAAUAAAUUUAUAAAUUCAAAUGGUCUUUAAUAGCUUAAUAUAAUGAAUAGCUUUUGGUUCAAAUAUUUCUUUUAUAUUAAUAAUGAUGUGGUGGUGAUGAAGCCGUGUUUAAGGUGGUGGUGGUAGAGUGGCGGAAGUGGAGUGGCGGCGGCGGUAGUAGUGCUUAUUACAUUACAUAUUUUCAAACAAACAUAAAAAAUAAAUGACGAUUACAUUCUAUAAAUUUUUUCAAUUACAUUACCAAACAUAGUAAUGGAAUCUGUAUUACAUUAAAUUCUAUUACAUUUUUCAUUGCAUUACAUCUUUGAUUACAUUACAUUGUAUUGUAUCAAACCAAACAUAGCAUAAAGGUAUAAAAAUGAAUCUUUUGUAUAAUUUUAGUAAUUUUUAUAAUAAUAAAUAAGGAAACAAAAAAUUUAUAAAUAUAUAAAAAUUUGAGUAAAUAAUAAAUAGUAAUUAUAUAAAUAAAAUUAAUAAUUAUAUCAAUAAAAUUAAUUUUAAUCCGCUUUUUGCAGCGGAUAACUUUGCCUGUGUUCUUAUAAAUUCAUUUGCUUAAAUUCUCACUUAUCAUUUAUAAAUUUUUCUAAUUUCCUUCACAUAUAUAUAUUUUUAUGCUUCAACACAAAAGGGAUGUCAAUUUCUAGUGAUUUUUUCUCCUUGCAUUUUUUACUGUAUACAAUGAUAUACUUGUCUUAAUAUAUAAAUUCAAUCAUAUAUUUUUCAUGAAAAAUGUUAUGGCACUCUUAACUUUUACUUUGACCUAUUGAAAACCUUAAUUUGUAAAAUUAAAUCAAUUAAACAUUUAUUAAAUAGUUGAAAAAAACGUAAAAAUUAUUAUUCUAAAGGUUUUAUUAACCAUGUACCAAAUCAAUAUUUGACGUAUAAAAGUCAAAAAUUAUAAAAAUUCAUUUUUUUAGUAUCAAGAGGCUAAAUCAUUACAAAUAUCCUAAAUUUUGCAGGUAGUUUUAAUUGUACACCAAAUCCAACUUUCUUCCCCUAAUAUCCUAAACUUCAAUUUUAGUUACAAUAACACCCUAAUUUCAAAUUGCAUCCAAUUUAAUGAUAAAAUAUUAUUUUCGUUGGAUCUAUACUCUCUGUUAUGGUCAGGUUAACUAAAAAUUUAUUAUUUAACAACACCCUAACUAAUAUUGGUUAUGAAUUUAAAUUCAUAAAAAGCCAAGUAAAAUAAUAAAUUUUAGUUAGUUAUAAGCACAUAAAAUAUUAGGUUAGGUUUUUAUUUUGCCAUUUUUUAAGCAUGAAAUUAUUUAUGCUUAGGUUAAAUCUCUUAUAAAAAUGGGAAUAUUAUAUAAGUAAAUAAAAGUAUUUUAUUUUUAAGAUGAAUAUAUUUUUUAUUAUAAUAUUAUAUAAAUAAAUAAAUUAUUUAUUUAUUUAUAAGUAGUGGUAGUGGGAAUGAGUCUAGUUUAGGAGACAAGGUUAAAUUAAGUCCCAUAAAGUAAUAUUUUAUUCAUUAAAUUGGGUAUAAUAUGAAAUUAGGGUAUUAUUAUAAGUAAAAUUAAAAUUUGAGGUACUAGGAGAAGAAAGUUAAAUUUAUAAUACAAUUACAAUCACCCGCAAAGUUUGGGGUAUUUUUAAUAAUUUAGUCGCAUAAGCGUAGAAUUAUUACAAAAAGUAAAGAAUAAGUUGCCGUACAAUUUUUUUGUCAAAGUUCAAGGGUGAAAUUAUCUACUUUGGCUAUAUACUUUCACUAUUUCAAUAGCCACACAUAAGAACUUGUAGUUUCUAUUUGGGCCUAAUGCAUAAAUUUAACCCUAUGAUUUUGACGAUUAUUCUUGUGACUCCUUGAAUUUUACGGAGAAUGUAUCAUAACAUACACUUUCACAUUUUAAUAAUAAUUAUGCUCUUUGCCAAAAUAAAAUACUAAAGUGUUGGGUCAUAAUUCACCCCCAAGAAAGAUAUUUCACUUUAGCAAGACACAUAAUUAUUAUUGAAAUUUAAGAAUAUAUGAUUAUUAUUGAAUUCUCAUAAAGUUAGGAGCCACAAGGAUAAUUGACAAAGUUUAGGUCAAAUUUAUGCAUUAGUCGUGAUUUUUACUUUCAAAUUUAUUUCAUAAAUAAUUCAUUUAUAAAUAGAACACAAAUAUUUCAACUCGACAUGAUAUAGCUAAAUCAUAAAAUGCUUUGUAUGUGCUUUAAUUUUUUAGCAAUUUAAUUAUAUAUAUCUUACACCUUAGAUAAAAAAAGUCAAAAACUAAACAAUUGCGCAAGCAUAAGGGAUCACUUAGUUUAUAUAUGUUAUAGGUGUACAUUAUAGAUAUAUAUAGAUAUAAAUGGAUAUAUAAAAGUGCAUAGAAAAGAAUUUUAAGGUCGAGGGACUAUAAAUUUUUUAAACUAACGUUAGAUAACUGGGAAUUCAAACAUGAAUUUUAGCCAAGUUGGAUGUGAAAAUAUUGCUUUAGUGCAGUUUAAUUAGCAAAAGGCUUAAUUAUAAAUUUAGUGUCUGAAGUUUCAAAAAUUUUCUAUUUCAAUGUAUCAACGGAAAACAUUUGCAAUCAAAUGUCGGAAUCGAUAAUUUUUUUUCAAUCAGGUAUCUUCGUCCUAUGUGGCUUGCCGAAAAUAUCAAUAGGACAUGUAGGACCCACUAAUUGUUAAAAAUAAAGCUGAGUAGGACUCCAAAUAGCUUGACACGUUGGAUUUGACGUGUUAAGCAGUAAAGUGUAAAUAUCAAAGGACAAAAUUACCCUUAACACUACUCAGAACCCAACUUUCAAUUGAUCACCUUAAAAUCCAUCACCACCACUGCCGCUACCACCGUCAUUGCCACUUCCACUGCCAUUGAUGUCUUCAUCUGCACAUAUGCAUCAAUUACUUAUAAGCUGCGCUGAGCUUAUUUCUCCGUUCGACUUCUUUGUCACUCACCGCCUUCUCCUAGUCUUAUCCUUUGCCCCUUCACCCUAUGAUGAUUCUAGAGAAAGAUUGCUUCACCAGUUCGUUAGAGCCCUAUCUUUCCGUCUCAGCCACCGCGGUGGAGGUGAAGUCAGAAGAAGUAGCAGUGGCAAUACUGCCAGUAGAAAAUCUAAAGAAGCUCUUCAAUCUUAUUAUUUAUCUUUAAACCAAAUCCCUCCAUUUAUAAGAUUUAGCCAUAACAAACAAAAAAAAUAUCAUAUAUGCUUCAACUAGGGGUGGCCACAUUACGGUUUUUAGAACCGAAAAUGCCGGUUUGGAACCGGUGGAAAUUGGAACCGGAAUCGUGAGGAACCGAAACUGGAGGUCUAUUGUCUGGUUCUGGUUUUAACUUUUGUGGAACCGUGAAUCGGCAGUUCUAAGAACCAGCGGUUUUUUCAACCAGUAGAGCCAGUGGUUCUACCGGGUUCCAACAACUUUUUUUUUUAUUUUUUCAAAUAUUUUGUGAAAUCUCCAAAUUAACUCUCCUAACAACUAUAUAUAAAUGACUACUUUUAAGGGUAUUUGUGCAAAUUUGAUUUUUUAUAUUUACUAUAAAUACCCCUUUUUCAUUUGAAAAAAAAAAAAAAUUUAAGUUCAAGCCUUUUUGUAAAAAAAAAAAAAGUUCUAGCCCCUUUUUUUUUUUUAAAAAAUAAGUUCAAUCCUUUUUAAAAACAAAUAAAUUAAAUUCAAACCUUUUUAUUUUUUCUUAAAGUUUUUUCCAAAAAUUAUUUCAUAAAUAUUUAAAUUUUAAGUUUUCAAUAAAAAAAUUUCCUAAUUUUUUAUUUUAGAAUUAUACUAUUCUUCGGAAAACCAAUCAGAAAAUCAGCCGGAACCAUCGGUUUUGGAAUCAUUGAGGAAUCGAAAUUAGAACCAUAACUAGAACCGUCAAUUUCGGGUUCGAUUUCGAUUUUAGAUUUUUUGGAAUUGGAAUCGUCAUUUUGGAACCGUGGCCACCCCUAGCUUCAACCCUCCCAUUAAAAAGAUUUCAAAAUACUUUAGAUAUUUAGUUUUUCAAUUUCAUUACUCUUAAAUAGAUAGAUUUAAUACAUUUACUAAUUAUUUUUCUGAUAAUAUUAUAUAAAUAAAAUAAUUACUUAUCCAUCAUCACCAUUAAAAGCUAAUUAUUUCAAAACUUAGUUUGAAAAUAUAUUUAUUAGAGAAGAUACUAUAUUUAUCUUUUCAAUUAGAGAAGCGGGCAUCAAACAAGAUGGAUAAUAUUACCAUCUAUAUUUCAACUCUUCAAAAUUCAAAUUCACUGCUUCAAGUAAAUUAUUGAUAGAAAUGAAAAAUCAUUCGCCAUUACUGUCCUGCUAAACGAAGCUCUAGUAGUAAAUUGCGUCUUUUACCUUCACAUGCUUCUAAAAUAAGAUUCAAGAAAUCUUCGAAUAUUUUUGUACAAAAUCAAAGCUUUAAACCCUAAAGCGAUCACAGUAGUAGAAAGAGAAGCUAACCAUAACUGUCCAUUCUUCUUCCAGAUAUUUAUAGAAGCUUUAGAUCACUACACAACCAUAUUCGACUCUUUAGGAGCAAUAGUAGCGCCAAAUAGCGGAGAAAGAUCGGCUGUAGAGCAAAUAUGAUUCGUCCUUCUUCUCUACGAAUUGUUUACUAUAGUGCUUUGAUUCUUUGAAGACAAGGCUUCGAUUCGUUUGGUGUUAGAGUGCGACUGCGCUAGGGUUUGUUUCUUUCUAUUUUGGGACAAUAUUGAUUUUCCAAUUGAUUGAUUGAAAGUUGGGUUCCGAGUAGGUUAAGGGCAAUUUUUUCCUUUGAUCUUUACCCUUUACUGCUUAGACAUAUCAAAUUGAAGUGUUAAGCUAUUUGAUGUCCUAUUCAAAUUUUAUUUUUAACAAUUAAUGAGUCUCUUGUGUCCUAUUUAUAUUUUCAGUAAGUCACUUAGAAUGGAGACACCUGAAUGAAAAAAGUUAAUCAAUUUCGAUAUUUGCAAUCAAUUUCAAUAUUUCAUUGUAAAUAUUUUCGGUUGAGAUAUUAAAAUAAAAAAUUUUAAAAAAUUCAGACACUAAAUUUACGAAAUUUAUAAUUAAGCCUAAGCAAAACAAACUAUUUAAACGCAUUAAAUUGAUGAUCCAUAGAGCCCUGCCACGCGAAUGCUACUCAUGACAACGUAACCAGACGUCUCAGAUCUCACCACGUGUACCUUUAUCCAUGUGGCAUUAUUUCAUUGGCUAUCUCAGGAUCCCACGUAGCUUUAAUUUUCUACGAUAUUCAGCAGACUUCUUCUAAACGUUCUCUUUACGUUCUCCGACUUCGCUCUUCACCUCCAUCGCCAAAAUCUUCUAGUAUUUGAUCAUAUGGUGGUUUUUGGCUGCGCAUGAGCACAAAUCUCGACCUCACUGGAACAGCACAGGCUUCUAAUGGUCGCCGCUUAACUUAACAUUCGCACGCGUCACUGACCUGCGCUACACCGGCGAUUAUAUAUGUAUAAUUCCAGCACCCUUUCCUCUUAUUUAUGAUUUAAGAUCCUGCUUCUCUGCAUACAUCUUUUUGAUGUGGAUUAGAGAAGUUAAGAGGUUGAUUGAUUUUUGUUUUUUUUUAAAUCCUACUCCCUUGUCUAAGCUCUCCAUUUCCAAAUUUUCCAUUAUCCUCAAAUUUUCGUUUUCAUGGAAAACGCGGUGGCAAACUUGUAUCUAAAAUUUACAUUUAAUUUACAGUAAAUUUUCGAAGCUGCUCGUAAGCCAGGCCCCUACCCCGCCUCCCACCAUCGACGAAGCUCCACAUUUGCCUCUGCUGUUCCUAGUUCCUGCCUGUGUUGCUUUCUUCACAAUUGUUCAUUGUCGAGUCAGGUUCCAUUUUUUUCUUUCCGUUUAUUUUUUACUUUAUAUAUAUAUAUAUAUAUAUAUAUAUAUAUAUAUAUAUAUAUAUUGCAUUAGUUUGUUUAAUUUUUUAAGGGUUUGGUUUCCACUGUAAAUUAGUCGUUGCAGAAUUAGAUUUUUUUCUAGCUUAUUGAAACGAAAGAAGCUCAUACCUGCUAGAUCCGUGUUCGUUCUCAAUUUGGGUCCUUCUAAUCCUCUUUUUGGUGUCUAAUAGUAAUAAUAUUAGUAAUGGUUCUUUAAUGAGUGUUCAAUAGUGAUGCUCUAAUUGCUCAUCGAUCAAAGUGCUAGAUAAUUCGAACUGGGUUAAGCAUUUUUAUUGUAAAUUUGUUUCUGCUUAUUGUAAUUGCUCAUAUAAUUGAGUAUUGAGUAAAUUAGUCAUUGCAGAAUUAGAUUUUUUCUAGCUUAUUGAAACGAAAGAAGCUCAUACCAGCUAGAUCCGUGUUCGUUCUCAAUUUGGGUCCUUUUAAUCCUCUUUUUGGUGUCUAAUAGUAAUAACAUUAGUAAUGGUUCUUUAAUGAGUGUUCAAUAGUGAUGCUCUAAUUGCUCAUUGAUUAAAGUGGUAGAUAUUUCGAAAGGGGUUAAGCAUUUUUAUUGUUAAUUUGUUUCUGCUUGUUGUAAUUGCUCAUAUAAUUGAGUAUUGAUUAACGUAAUAAAUGAUGAUUAAGGCUUAUAACUGCUGUGAUAAUUGAUUAGUUGAGAUAAAACAAUAUUAUAAUUCAAUAGAGCCAAGAAAUGAUAUUCAAUUGAUGGUUUUUUUUUUUUUUUUUUUUUUUUUUACUUUAGAUUUGUUCCCAUUUGUAAGAAUUAAACUUUUAGAGUAUUUGAAUACUUUGCUAUUAUAUCCUGGUAAAGGUAACAUAUAGUAUUGGGUUUAGAAAUCUGCUUUUGAAGCUGAAGUGGAUUCAGAUAUUUUUAUCUGUGUAAUUUACUUUUACAAGGUAAUUUAUCUUGUGGAGGUGCCGUUCAUGCUUUUCUGAAUAGCCAGCACUCAGGUUGGCUUGAUGGAAAUAACUAUUAACUUGUUAUCAAUCUGUUUUUGUUGGAGAUUUAAUUUUGACAUUAAUUUUGUAGUUUGAUGGCGAUUAGCAGUUUUGUAAGUGACAGUCUCGCCAUUGGAUGAAGUUAUGUAGUUGUGUAUUGUGUUUUUUAUGUAGUUAUCUUGCUAAUCUUAUUUAAGAAGUUAUAGUGAUAAGGUUGACAAAUCUAAUUUAUUCUCUUUGAUCACUUAAAACAUGAGUUGAGUAAUUUGCUGGCAUCUAAACUAAUUUGAUUAUUUUAAUUGUAAUUUGGGCUUCCCCAUGAUGAUUUUUAUCAUAUGUAAUAAACUUUUUAAUUAGCUCUAAUAGAUUAGCAAAAGUAAGGUGAUUAUUUUUAAAAUCUUAAGUGAUUAACUGAUUAUAUGAGCAAAUUCUUGAAAUUCUAUAUCAUACUUGCUGGACUUAAAUUUGAUCAUCAGAUCAAUUUGGAAUUUGACUGACUGCUCUAAUGAUGUUUCACUUCACUAAUUGUUAUUAUUCUCUCCUUCAAUAAUUGUUAUUAUUCUCUCCUUCAAUAAUUGGUUUUUAGCAAUAGGAUUUUUUCAUAUGUUUUUGUUGUAAUUAUUAUUUAUAGCUUAAUAACUAGUUUUUUCUUUUAAGACAUCAAUUAAAAUAAAAAAAAUUAAAAAAUAUGGGAAAAAAUAAUUUAAAAAAUAAAAAUAAAAAUUUAAGAUAAAAAAUGAAUAAUUUAAAAAAAUAUAAAUAAUAAUUCAUAUAGGAAAACACAAAAUAAAAAUGUGGAAAAAAAAUUGUAAUUUGAAAACAUUAUCCAUCUUCUAGAGAUAGAAAAUAGUUUUCAAAUUAUUAUUACAAAUGAAUCUAGUUUCCUUUUUUUUUUUUUUUUUUUUUUCUAAAUCUUCCAUCUCCAUGGAUAAUGGAAAAUGAAAAACAGAACAGGGUUUUCUACAAAUCAACACCAUCAUAAAAGUUUUCCUUUUCUUCUUCACACGCGAUCACCAAAGAAAAUUUUAAUCCAAAUCUCUCUUCUACACCAACAUUUUGAAUGCUGGACAGGUAAACAAGUGCUUAAUUGUUUAUUCUUGUUGACUCUCCUGCCUGCUUUUGUAUUGAUGAUGCCAUAGCUUGCAGGAUGAAAAUCAUUCUCCCAUUUGCCUUUUCUGCAUGAACUAAAUGAGGCAACUUUAGCUGCUUCUGUAUCUAAUUUACCGUGCCACCUAGUUAAUUUUGGGAACUUCAUUGUUCAUUUAAAGUUCAUUUUAGCUGAUUAUGCUUGCAGUUUAAAUGUAUACUAGAUGUAAUUUCAGGCCUUUUUAACAUAGUUUUUCUUUUCUUUGCUUGUCUUGCAGAGAAGGAUUGUUUAUUUAUUAAAAUACACUGAUCAGGAUGAUGUCACUCCCAUUCAGAUUGGUUUUAUUGCUGUCCUUGCUUUCUUUAAAUUUAAUCCCUUCACACUCAGCUGUAGUGAGCAUAGAUCUAGGCACAGAAUGGAUGAAAGUAGCUGUUGUGAACCUAAAACCGGGGCAGUCCCCAAUUUCCAUUGCAAUCAAUGAGAUGUCAAAGAGGAAAUCCCCAGGCUUAGUUGCAUUCCAUUCCGGUACCCGUCUUCUGGGUGAAGAAGCUGCUGGAAUCACUGCUCGUUACCCUGGCAAAGUCUAUUCCCAACUCCGUGACAUGAUUGGGAAAC